CAUUACAAGUGAGGCUACCGAACGUUGGAAACAGCGGUUAGGAGCUUACACCCACCCGUGUUUACAUACUAUUGUUGCUUUGGCGGGCCGUGGCCUCCACUGCGGGCUCUGCUCGUGUGUGCCCGCCAGAGAACCAAACUCUGAAUGUUAGUGAUGUCCGAGUACUAUCUAAUAGUUAAAACUUUCAACAACGGAUCUCUUGGUUCUGGCAUCGAUGAAGAACGCAGCGAAAUGCGAUAAGUAAUGUGAAUUGCAGAAUUCAGUGAAUCAUCGAAUCUUUGAACGCACAUUGCGCCCUGUGGUAUUCCGCAGGGCAUGCCUGUUCGAGCGUCAUUUAACCACUCACGCCUAGCGUGGUAUUGGGGCACGCGGUCUCCGCGGCCCUCAAAAUUAGUGGCGGCGCCGGUGGGCUCUAAGCGUAGUACAUACUCCCGCUAUAGAGUUCCCCCCGGUGGCUCGCCAGAACCCCCAAUUUUUUACAGGUUG
rnacentral:rRNA from 1 species